rnacentral:lncRNA from 1 species
ACUGAUCGAGAGAGAAGGCAGUUUGUGAGGGGCAAGAAUUGCGACAGUCGCCCGGGCGGCGCGGCGCGAAGAUGGAUUCAUGACCCCGAAGUGCGGGCGGCGCAAACGAGGUGUUAAUCUUCUCGGAUGUCGAGUUAGGAGAGGAGGCGGCCGACCCGUAACCCCGUCACUUUCGAGCCCUCUCCCCUCCCCCCCCCCUCGCCGCUCGCGGAGCCACCUGUUCAUUUCUCCGAGUGCGCGGUGCGUUUUUCGGGUUGCGGUUGAGAUGCGGACUCAAGAGGACAAGUGGACAUGACGCAGCGUGAGGCCUGACGGGAAUCACGCUUGUUUCCCCGCCCGGAUCGUAAGCAUGCCCUGAGAGCCACGAGCAGAAUGCCGGUUCGCAGGGGGAUCAUCGCGCCACGGACCACCAUCAUCGAGACCAUCAUCAGGAAGUUCAAUAGACAGAAUCGGAGUUUCAUAGUGGCGAACGCGCAGAACAACCUAUGUCACGUGAUCUACGCCUCGGACGGGUUCUGCAAGAUGACCGGGUUCAGCAGGUCUGACGUCAUGCAGAAGUCGGCCCUGUGCCAGUUCCUCCACGGGCCACUCACGUCCCAGCACGCGGUCAACGUCAUCAAGGAGGCCCUCUACACGGGCGAUGAGAAACACUUCGAAAUCCUCUACUACAAAAAAGACGGGACCAAAUUUUUAUGCAGACAAGUGAUAGCAACCGUAAAAUGUGAGGAGGAGGACGUUUGUUUGUACAUCAUCGAUUUUGAGGAUCUGUCGGCGCCGCCGCCUGAACCCCCGAGGACGAGCCCAGCGCUGUCAGUUGACCGAGCGCGUGCAUCUUUUAAGAGGUCCUUCCACCACCGGAUGGGCUCACUCAGGGGGAGGGGGUUGCGGCUCUCCAGCUCGCUUUCCCCCUCCCCCGCCGAAGAAUCCAAGGAACCACUGGGAGGGAUCUCCGUGACCGAUCAAAGGUUAGUGCUCUCUCUGGGGGCGGACGUGCUGCCGGAGUACAAGCUCCAGUCGCCGCGGAUCCACCGAUGGACGGUGCUCCACUACAGCCCGUUCAAGGCCGUCUGGGACUGGAUCAUCCAGAUCCUGGUCAUGUACACGGCCAUCUUCACCCCGUACACGGCCGCCUUCCUCCUCAACGAGCCCAACUACAACAUCAAGAAGAGCAGGAAGUACGUUGACGACCCCAUCGCCGUCGUCGACAUGAUCGUGGAUGUGACGUUCAUAAUCGACAUCCUGAUCAACUUCCGGACGACGUACGUGAACCCGAGCGACGAGAUCGUCUCGCAUCCGGGCAAGAUCGCCUACCACUACCUCCGCGGCUGGUUCCUCAUCGACCUCGUCGCCGCCAUCCCCUUCGACCUCAUCGUCGUCGGAUCCAACACCGAGGAGUUGGACCUGGACCCUGAUGAGACGACAACGCUGAUUGGGCUGCUGAAAACGGCGCGGCUCCUGCGGUUGGUGCGCGUGGCGCGGAAGAUUGACCGCUACUCGGAGUACGGCGCUGCUGUUUUGCUCCUCCUCAUGGCCACCUUCGCCCUCAUCGCACACUGGCUCGCCUGCAUCUGGUAUGCAAUUGGAAAUGCAGAGCGGCCGCGGCUAAAAGCCAAAGUUGGCUGGUUAGAUCAUCUGGCGGAAGACACGCAACAAGCCUACUUCCCCAACAACACGGGAGGACCUUCGAUCAGGUCGAAAUACAUCACGGCCCUGUACUUCACAUUCACCUCGCUCACGUCGGUUGGCUUUGGCAACGUCGCCCCCACAACGGACGCCGAGAAAACGUUCACCAUCUGUGUUAUGUUAGUUGGAUCUCUCAUGUACGCCAGUAUUUUCGGUAACGUCUCAGCAAUAAUUCAAAGACUGUAUUCAGGGACUUCUCGGUAUCAAAUUCAAAUGUUCCGGGUCAGGGAGUUUAUUCAAGAAUAUUUUCAGCAUGCCUGGACCUAUACGAAUGGUAUAGAUAUGAACAGCGUCUUGAAGGGGUUCCCUGAGUGUCUUCAGGCAGAUAUCUGCCUUCACCUGAAUCGAAAUUUGCUCACUAACUGUAGCGCCUUCAGCGGUGCGUCGCCAGGAUGUCUAAGAGCGUUAUCACUCAAGUUCAAGACAACGCAUGCGCCACCUGGGGACACCUUAGUGCAUCGAGGUGACGUUCUAACUUAUUUGUACUUUAUGUCUCGAGGCUCCAUCGAGAUUCUUCGAGACGACAUUGUGAUGGCAAUAUUAGGUAAAAAUGAUAUUUUCGGAGAGAAUCCGUGCAAACAUGCAACGAUAGGGAAAUCGUCUUGCAACGUCAGGGCCUUAACUUACUGUGAUUUACUUAAGAUUCACCGGGACGACCUUCUAGAGGUCUUGGAUUUGUACCCCGAGUUUUACCCUCAAUUUUGUAAAAAUUUGAAAAUAACAUUCUACCUAAGAGAUGUAAGUAUCCAUAUUAUUAUUUUCCAAGUAUUCCUCCACGCAUUUCAGAUAAAGUUAGUUUUUCUUCUGCUCAUGGUGGUCCUGCCGGUUCAAACAGGCCUUGAAAACAUAUAUGUGGGUAAGUGA